GGCUGGUCUGAAGGUAAGUGAGUUACCUCAAUUGAUUGUCCAGUCAGUUACAGAUCGAACUUGUUCUACUCUUUCCCUCCUUCUCACUACUGCACUUGACUAGUCUUAA
ensembl:misc_RNA Y_RNA Y RNA